rnacentral:lncRNA from 1 species
ACAAGAACUUUGCCCUGCUGGCUGUUAACAGGGCACUCUGCGAUGCCGCAGCCUCUUCUCACGUGCAAAAACCCCUAAAGUCUGAGGAAAUCAGGCUCACGCUGAUGACAGAACGCUUAUUGUUUUUUCACCGGUGAGGGUGGGGAUCAGCUACUUUGACAUGGACAUGAGGUUUCUGGUGUCAGACUCCUCUUAAAAAAGGAGCAGGCACCCAACCAGUUUGGGGAAAAAAAACCCUUUAAACACCAGGACCGCCAAUAACGGCUCAAAGUGCAACCUGUGGUGGGUUCAAAGCGCUGACACAUUAACCAGACCUUGGGCCACCGUCUGUAGUUGCCGCUGGGUGCCCACACCGUGUCUGCCGGGAGCGGGAAUGAGGGUGGCCCUGUUAUUACCCGAGCGGAGAAAGGGCGCAGCGGUGUUUGCACAGUGCGGACGGAAGCGCUGGUGGCGGCCCUGAGGUGUUGGGUGUGCGGUGGCAGGGCAGCGAUGACAAGGUGUAACCUGCCUCAGGUGAAACCUCUGGCUCCAAGCCUCCCCCUGACCCCAAAAGAGGCAAAGCAUUUCUGGAUUCACUUGAAGACUGACACAUGGACAUGUUUCCAAAAGAGAAGUCACCCUUUCAAACUCCUCUUUCCCACUGUGACAGCUUACUUCAUGGAAGCAGCAGCCAUCUGCCCUGGAUUACUUUUGGUUUGUGUUUAAUGAACACCACAUUCCCCUAGUGUUGCCACUGCUCCAACAGCAAUACCCUGCCCUGUGCAAAGUCUACUGUUGCCCAGGGGCUUGUAUCUCCCUGCCCUCAGCUGGCACCAUGACACUUCCCAUGCUACCUCUGAAGUGUGUGGAAAUUGUAGAAUAGCGGUCAUGGUGGCACUGAUGCACUGGGAAAGGAUGUCACAUAUUUAAAAUCUAUUUACUGAAAUGUUGCUCCAAGGUGGGAAGGGAUUUCCCCCUUCAGCUGUUGCUACAGGUAUGAUUGUCCCACAGCAUAGCACAAUGCCAUCUCAGUUUAAGUGCAUCAUCUAUGAGCUGUCUGGCCCAUAGGAUUUUUUUUUUCCCUUUUCUUGUCAAUUAUUGACUGGAGAGAUGAAGAAUGACACAUGCUUAAGUGCAUCAGUUAUCUCAAUUUCUUCCACCUUAGGCCUAGCUUAGCCAAGAUUUACCAGAACAGUCUACAAAAUGAAGAAGUUUCAGGUUUGUUUUUUUUUUCAGGUGAC